AGUGGAAGCGUCUGGAAAGGCGUGCGAUACAGGGUGACAGCCCCGUACACAAAAAUGCACAUACUGUGAGCUCGAUGAGUAGGGCGGGACACGUGGUAUCCUGUCUGAAUAUGGGGGGACCAUCCUCCAAGGCUAAAUACUCCUGACUGACCGAUAGUGAACCAGUACCGUGAGGGAAAGGCGAAAAGAACCCCGGCGAGGGGAGUGAAAAAGAACCUGAAACCGUGUACGUACAAGCAGUGGGAGCCUCUUAAUGGGGUGACUGCGUACCUUUUGUAUAAUGGGUCAGCGACUUAUAUUCUGUAGCAAGGUUAACCGAAUAGGGGAGCCGAAGGGAAACCGAGUCUUAACUGGGCGUUAAGUUGCAGGGUAUAGACCCGAAACCCGGUGAUCUAGCCAUGGGCAGGUUGAAGGUUGGGUAACACUAACUGGAGGACCGAACCGACUAAUGUUGAAAAAUUAGCGGAUGACUUGUGGCUGGGGGUGAAAGGCCAAUCAAACCGGGAGAUAGCUGGUUCUCCCCGAAAGCUAUUUAGGUAGCGCCUCGUGAAUUCAUCUCCGGGGGUAGAGCACUGUUUCGGCAAGGGGGUCAUCCCGACUUACCAACCCGAUGCAAACUGCGAAUACCGGAGAAUGUUAUCACGGGAGACACACGGCGGGUGCUAACGUCCGUCGUGAAGAGGGAAACAACCCAGACCGCCAGCUAAGGUCCCAAAGUCAUGGUUAAGUGGGAAACGAUGUGGGAAGGCCCAGACAGCCAGGAUGUUGGCUUAGAAGCAGCCAUCAUUUAAAGAAAGCGUAAUAGCUCACUGGUCGAGUCGGCCUGCGCGGAAGAUGUAACGGGGCUAAACCAUG
rnacentral:rRNA from 1 species